rnacentral:rRNA from 1 species
GAUGAACGCUGGCGGCGUGCCUAAUACAUGCAAGUCGAGCGAACAGACGAUAAGCUUGUUCCUCUGACGUUAGCGGCGGACGGGUGGGUAACACAUGGAUCACAUACUUCUAUGACUGGGGUAACAUCGUGGGAAAGCUGAUACUACCGCCUAAUAUAUUGAACCGCUUAGUUCACUAGAGCUAGAGACUUUUCCUGUUUCAUUUAGAUGGUUCCGCGCCGCAUUAGCUAGUUGGUAAGGUAACGGCUUACCAAGGCAACGAUGCGUAGCCGAUCUGAGAGGAUGAUCGGCCACACUGGAACUGAGACACGGUCCAGACUCCUACGGGAGGCAGCAGUAGGGAAUCUUCCGCAAUGGGCGAAAGCCUGACGGAGCAAUGCCGCGUGAGUGAAGAAGGCCUUCGGAUCGUAAAACUCUGUUGUUAGGGAAGAACAACUGCGGAAGUAACCAUGCCUGUCUUGACGGUACCUAAUCAGAAAGCCACGGCUAACUACGUG